UACGUAGGGGGCGAGCGUUGUCCGGAUUUAUUGGGCGUAAAGAGCUCGUAGGCGGUUUGUCGCGUCUGCUGUGAAAACUCGGGGCUUAACCCCGGGCCUGCAGUGGGUACGGGCAGACUAGAGUGCGGUAGGGGAGACUGGAAUUCCUGGUGUAGCGGUGAAAUGGCGCAGAUAUCAGGAGGAACACCGGUGGCGAAGGCGGGUCUCUGGGCCGUAACUGACGCUGAGGAGCGAAAGCGUGGGGAGCGAACAGG
rnacentral:rRNA from 1 species